ACCAUGGAAACCAGCCUUUCCUUUCAUUAAACAGCAAUUAAAGUGGGUCAAGAAACCUUUUCUAACAAACCACAUAGGUCCACUAACUUAAAUGUCCUUGUCGUUCAACAGCCACGCUCUGUCUCAUGAGGAUUUGUGAUAUUAUAAUAAUGAAGGAAGCAGCUCUCCAGUGAAAUAUGAAGGCUAAGUCUGCCCUUAAAGGCCUGGUAGAAACUAAUGUAGAUAUUGGGUUAAACAAGACGUAAAGAGCAAAGUUUGUGCUGUGUGUACACAAUUAAGGGGAGACUAAAACUGGAAACUAAAAUCUGAAUGUUCUCAGACUUGAAAAGAUCUCAGCUACUGCUUUAGUUUUGCCAGAUGCGGAUGAAAACAUGUCCCGACUCAACAGCAAGCAGUUUCUUAGUCAACCUUCUGGAACACUUCUAAGCGCAAUGUGUCCCUGCUGCAUAUUAAAAUGAUAACACAAAGGUAAGAUGCGUUUAGAAAAUAAUAAAGCCUCUCAGUAUUGUGAUAAAUGAACGUUUUUUUUUUUUUCUCUACUGUGCUCUGUGUGAUGUCAGGACUCUAGAGGACCCGAAAGACUCACCUAACCAGUAACAUAUGUUCUGUUGGUUUUUAGGAUUUCACUUCAUUUGAGGGAUGAGGUGCUUUCUUGCAUUGUGCUUAAAACGUUCCAGGGUCAAAGAAGUUUUCGAAUCCGCACUGAAGACAAGUCGCAGUGUGCUACCAGUGCGGGGCAAAGCUAAAGCGGAAACUCAGCAACUGAUCUUUAAUGUGAUACGGCACCAGCUACUCACCGAAGAAAGACCAGACCCCUUUACUGCAGUCCUGAAAUGUUUCUUCAACCAGGAGGACACAAG